CUAAGCUAUUAAGAGCAAACGGUGGAUGCCUAGGCGUCAAGAGGCGAUGAAAGACGUGGCAGGCUGCGAUAAGCUUCGGGGAGCUGCCGAACAAGCAUUGAUCCGGAGAUUUCUGAAUGGGGAAACCCGCUGCGGAUAAUACUGCGGCAUCACAGGCUGAAUACAUAGGUUUGUGAGGCGAACGAGGUGAACUGAAACAUCUUAGUAACCUCAGGAAGAGAAAACAACAGUGAUUCCCAAAGUAGCGGCGAGCGAAAUGGGAUUAGCCCAAACCAUAUGCUUCCGGGCAUAUGGGGUUGCAGGACCGCCAUCAUGUGAUCUGCAAUUAGAUAGGAGAAACGGCUGGGAAGUCGUGCCAUAGAGGGUGACAGCCCCGUAUUCGAAAUCGAACGCAGCGCAGGCGGCACCUGAGUACCACGGGACACGAGAAACCCUGUGGGAAUCCGGGAGGACCAUCUUCCAAGGCUAAAUACUCCUUGACGACCGAUAGUGAACCAGUACCGUGAGGGAAAGGUGAAAAGUACCCCGGUGAGGGGAGUGAAACAGUACCUGAAACCGUUUGCUUACAAGCAGUGGGAGCACGAUGCAUUUUUGUGCCGUGUGACUGCGUGCCUUUUGCAUAAUGAGUCAGCGAGUUAUUCUGUGCAGCAAGGUUAAGCCGUCAGGUGUAGCCGUAGCGAAAGCGAGUCUGAAUAGGGCGACAAGUUGCAUGGAGUAGACCCGAAACCAGGUGAUCUAUCCAUGGCCAGGGUGAAGCGGAAGUAAAAUUUCGUGGAGGCCCGAACCGUUGUAGGUUGAAAACUGCUCGGAUGAGCUGUGGAUAGGGGUGAAAGGCCAAACAAACCUGGAAAUAGCUGGUUCUCCCCGAAAUAUAUUUAGGUAUAGCCUCGUGUGAUCAGUGACGGGGGUAGAGCACUGGAUGGGCUAGGGGUCCUACCAGAUUACCAAACCUAACCAAACUCCGAAUACCGUCAACUGCAGCACGGGAGUCAGACUAUGGGAGCUAAGUCCCGUGGUCGAGAGGGAAACAGCCCAGAUCGCCAGCUAAGGUCCCGAAGUAUAUGCUAAGUGGGAAAGGAUGUGGAAAUGCACAGACAACCAGGAGGUUGGCUUAGAAGCAGCCAUCCUUUAAAGAAAGCGUAAUAGCUCACUGGUCGAGUGAGUCUGCGCCGAAGAUGUAACGGGGCUCAAGCAUAUCACCGAAGCUGCGGGAUGUUUUUUGAGACAUCGGUAGGGGAGCAUUGUGUACGGGUGGAAGCCAUAUCGUAAGGAGUGGUGGACUGUACAGAAGAGACCAUGCUGACAUGAGUAACGAUAAAGCGGGUGAAAAUCCCGCUCGCCGUAAGCCCAAGGAUUCCUGAGUAAAGCUGAUCUUCUCAGGGUUAGUCGAUCCCUAAGCCGAGGCCGAAAGGCGUAGGCGAUGGCAAACAGGUAAAUAUUCCUGUACCACCGUGAUAUCGUUUGAGAGAAGGGGGGACGCAGGAGGGUAGGUCAUCCGUCUGCUGGAAUAGGCGGUUUAAGCGUGUAGGCAGAAAGGGCAGGCAAAUCCGUCCUUUUAUAUAAUGCUGAGGCGUUAUGACGAGGAGGUAACUCCAUAAAGUGAUUGAUCCCAUGCUGCCGGGAAAAGCCUCUAUCGAGAUAUCAAGGUGAUCGUACCGUAAACCGACACAGGUAGGCAGGGAGAGAAUCCCAAGGCGCUUGAGAGAACCCUGGUUAAGGAACUCGGCAAAAUGACACCGUAACUUAGGGAGAAGGUGUGCCCCCGUUAGGUGAAGCGACCGAGCUUGCGGAGCUGAGGGGGGUCGCAGAGAAACGGCGGUAGCGACUGUUUACUAAAAACAUAGGACUCUGCCAAGUCGCAAGACGAAGUAUAGGGUCUGACGCCUGCCCGGUGCCGGAAGGUUAAGGGGAGGGGUUAGUUUCGGCGAAGCUCUGAACCGAAGCCCCGGUAAACGGCGGCCGUAACUAUAACGGUCCUAAGGUAGCGAAAUUCCUUGUCGGGUAAGUUCCGACCUGCACGAAUGGC
rnacentral:rRNA from 1 species